GCCGGGCGCGGUGGCUCACGCCUGUAAUCCCAGCACUUUGGGAGGCUGAGGUGGGUGGAUCACCUGAGGUCAGGAGUUCGAGACCAGCCUGACCAACGUGGUGAAACCCCGUCUCUA
ensembl:misc_RNA Metazoa_SRP Metazoan signal recognition particle RNA